GAUCGCAUUGAUUUGUACUUAAUGUGUAUCGAAUCGUAUCGCAUCGGGAAACGGUGAAUCGUAUCGCCAGAAAAUUCCUCGUAUCGUUUAAGUAUCGCAUCGCUGGCAGUGGAUCGUGAUGUGUAUCGAAUCGUCCUCAGUGCUGAGAUUCAGAACCCUAUUCGGAAGGAGGAUUGCGAUCCGCCCCCACGCAUUUCCGAAUAGAGCACCGUAUUGGUCGGAACGUCGAGUGUCACUCCUUUUUGAUGCAGUCUGAAUAACCAAAUGGGUUGCAGAGAGUUGCCGGAACCUAUUCCAGGUGAGCUCCGGGCACAAGGCAGACUACACACUGAAUUGGUCAUCAGUCACAGGGCACAUAGAGUGACAAAAAAAACAUUCACACCCACAACCACACUGCUAUUAAGUGUUAACACUGCCCAGACACAAGUCAGGUGAGUGUACCACUUCACCAUCAGCAACAAGCACAUUCCCCUAAUGUUAAUUUCCGAACGCAGCGUAUGUUCUUUGACCAUGUGUCAAACUCAAGGCCUGGGGGCCAGAUCUGGUGUACCACAUCAUUUUAUGUUGCCCGUGAAAGCAAAUCAUGUGUGUCAACGUCCAUGCUCCUUGUCAAAUUUGUACCGAUAAUGUCAAAUUAUCCUGUGUAGGAAAUACUGCAGAAAUAAUGUUCAGAAUUCUGUUACCCUGUUUACACUCACUAAACUAAAAAUUAAACAAACCAUUAUAAUUGACUGAUUUCAAAACUAGUCAUCUAUCAAUUUUUGGUGUACAAUACGAUAAGACAAUUAAAGAUUUAUUUGGUUUCACUGUCAUAACGGCCCUCCGAGGGAACCCGGAACUUCAAAGAGGCCUGUGACAAAAAUGAGUUUGACACCCCUGUCCUAAAUCAAUCAGCUACUUGCGCUUGAACAGUUUCCAUCUCUAUUGCCUGAUGCACUGCGUCCACAAUUGCAUUUGUACCGAUAAUGUCAAAUUAUCCUGUGUAGGAAAUACUGCAGAAAUAAUGUUCAGAAUUCUGUUACCCUGUUUACACUCACUAAACUAAAAAUUAAACAAACCAUUAUAAUUGACUGAUUUCAAAACUAGUCAUCUAUCAAUUUUUGGUGUACAAUACGAUAAGACAAUUAAAGAUUUAUUUGGUUUCACUGUCAUAACGGCCCUCCGAGGGAACCCGGAACUUCAAAGAGGCCCGUGACAAAAAUGAGUUUGACACCCCUGUCCUAAAUCAAUCAGCUACUUGCGCUUGAACAGUUUCCAUCUCUAUUGCCUGAUGCACCGCGUCCACAAUUGCAAAAUUAUUGGUCAAAUGGCCGGUAGUUUUUGCGUUUAUGUAAUCGACGCUUUUACAGCAGUUGUACACAAGUAACACUGGUCUUAUGAUGUACUACACAAAAAUGUAUACCUUAAACCUUUUAUCCUUAAAUAUAUACAAAGAGGUUUGUUGAUCUGCUGCAGCAUUAGUCUGCUUUUUUAUGAGGUCUACUGUACUUGAUCACAAAUGACAGCAAACUGAAAUUACACAAACUCUUUUGUGUGAUAGUGGACCUCUUUGUGGUUUGGCACUGCUCUUUUAGAAAUUACAGGAAUACAUGAUGAUGAGGCUAACCCUUGAGGAUACAGUACGGUAAGUUUAUUUAAACAGAAAAAAUGAAAAGAAGAACAAGAACAAUUUUCCUCAAGAAAAAAAAAAGUGUACUGCAGUUCUGUUCAAUGUCUUCAAUAUCAAAAUGUACAUAAUCACUGUAUCAAGUUAAAGAUGAAAAAGCAAACAUAUUUACAUUUCUUUUUCUACAUUGUUAAGUUGACUUGGCACACUCUGCCACAUCCAGCUUCUUGCCACUGUCGCACAUUUUGGCCAGAUUCUGUUGAGAGAAAAGCACUGUAUGAGAUGAUGAAAUGGCUGGAAAAAAUAAACUGGCAAUUUAUCAAAGGAAAUCUUACAUUCGCAGCUCGAAUGACGCUGGUGGGAGACUGGAUGGCUGCAAGGUCUGUUAGUAUUUUCUUGAGAUCACAGUUGUAUGGAUGUUCUGAAGCAGUUGAAAACGUGUCACAUGAUGGUCCUCAACAAAAUGAGCCUUUCAAUCUUAUUUUGACUUUCACUACAUUCCAAAUUAUUGGGCAUACAGAUUUCUACAUUAACAAUGGCCAAGGGCCACCACGUGACUGUGUUGGGCCACCCAAAGGCUGCUGACGCUAGCAUUGCAACUUUAGCAGGCAGAGACCCGGAGUGAGAAAAGCAGUCUAAAUACAGAACCUGUACGUAGAUGUUUUUUAGGGCUAACUUCAGAUGCUGUGGCUUUAGGUAUGCUUUGUCGACCAGAAAAUUAAAGUUCAUUCUACAUACUUAAUCACACAGAGCACAUUGUAUAUAUUUGUAUGAUGAAUGUAUGUACCUGGUUCCGGAGACCUUUGUGGCUUAAGUUGCAGGUAUGGAUGCUCCAGCAGUUCUACAAUGGAUAUUCGCUCCCUAGGACUUCGGACCAAGCAUCUCUGUCAAACAAGAAGCCGUAUUCGCGGUUACAAAAUACACAGAGGUUUGCUGAUACAUCUCAGGCAGUGUUGUUUCUGAAGACCACCAUUCUAGUUUUUUGCAAUACCAAAGUUGAGUAAUUUAUGAUCUCAUGAUGAUUCUCAAUUGACCAAAAGACUAAAUCAAAAUGUCUUCUUGAGAGGAGCUGUGACCGUUUUCAGAACUCGCAUUCAUUAAAUUAACUUGUACAUUGUACUUGUAUGUUACAUCUAAGGAAGAUUUGGACUGAUGAUGUAUGCAACUUGGGAAGCUUCUCAUUUCUUUAGUUGACUUUGUUUUAAAAUAAUACAAUAUAAUGUGUCUUUUAUCAUUGAGAACAUGAACACCAAAUACAAAUAAUUGCUGUAUAAACGACCGAUCACCAAGACAAAAAAUUGUUGUUUUCGGGCUCUUACUUUCAACACAUCCAGCAAGUCCUUCUCUGAGAUGUCAGGAAAUGCAAUUUUAUGGCUGGGAUUGAUGAUGGCAUGCAUCUUGCUGAUUCGAUUGGUGAUGCUUUGGAAUGGACUCUUUCUGUAUGUCAUAUA